AUGAUGGGGAAAAUGGGAUUUAGCACAUGGUGGAUCCGGUUAUUCAUGAAAUGUGUUACUACGGUGCACUAUCAGAUAAAGGUCAACCAUGAUGUGACAAAUGUCAUUACCCCUAGCAGAGGCCUGAGACAAGAAAGGAGCAAAAAGAUUCAAGGAAUAAAAAUCUCAAGAAGGGCUCCAAGUGUGAACCAUCUGCUCUUUGCAGAUGAUUCCUUACUACUAAUGAAGGUCGAGGAUAGAAGCAUGAAAGAAGUGGAUCAAAUCUUGAAGCAGUAUGCAGAUUUCUCUGGACAAGUAAUUAACAAAGACAAAUCUGCUAUCAUGUUCAGCAAAAAUACUCCUCGGGAGAAGAGACAUGCCACAAUGCAGAUUUUGAACCUGAAUUGUGAAGCCAAAACAGAGAAAUACCUGGGAUUGCCCAUCUAUAUCGGAAAUUCAAAGUCAAAAACAUUUGCAUACCUAAAGGAUAGGAUUUGGAGAAAGAUCCAAGGUUGGAAAGAACGCAUGCUAUCAAUGGAUGGCAAGGAAAUUCUAAUCAAAGCGGUAGCACAAUCAGUACCAAUCUAUGCAAUGGCGUGCUUUGAUCUCACCAAAUCUCUAUGUGAUCAAAUGAGCAAAAUAAUAUGCAAGUACUAG
rnacentral:rRNA from 1 species